rnacentral:rRNA from 1 species
CACGUAGGGCGCAAGCGUUGUCCGGAAUUAUUGGGCGUAAAGGGCUCGUAGGCGGUCUGUUGCGUCGGGAGUGAAAACUUACAGCUUAACUGUGAGCGUGCUUCCGAUACGGGCAGACUUGAGGUAUUCAGGGGAGAACGGAAUUCCUGGUGUAGCGGUGAAAUGCGCAGAUAUCAGGAGGAACACCGGUGGCGAAGGCGGGUCUCUGGGCCGUAACUGACGCUGAGGAGCGAAAGCAUGGGGAGCGAACAGG